CCCUAUGCCCCCCCCCAUGCUACACCACUGCCUUUGUCUCAGGACAACAGCUAUAAAAAAGCACAGGGGAUACAAUCUAUGCUAAACCGUUUUUCCAAAAAAUGCAGAAGUUUCAUCUGUUCACUUCCGUUCCUUCCAUUGUGCAACCCACAGUUGUGACAUAAUAGGAGAUGUGGUUAAUCAGGCAGUCUAGGGAGGGGACUAUGAUCAGAAUAUCAAAUCAGAGAGAAGCGAUUUUUGCUGAGGAUCCGCUGUGUAACAGAACGUUGCCGGAUUUCAGCAGCAACAGCUGCCAACCAAGACCGUCAUUCAGGACACAGCAAAGAUAGGAGCAAACAGGACGCCCUGCUAGCGGCAGAACCCACGCCAUGAGGCUGUCUUCCAGCAUCCUUUUUCUUGGGUGUUGGCUGACCAGGCAGUGGCAAAUGGCUAGAGGACAAUAUCCCAAGCCCUCAAUUUCAGUGAUUCCCAGUCCUAAUGUCGCUCUUGGAGGGAAUUUCUACAUCCAAUGUGGGAGUCAAUAUUACGGAGCCACUUUU